CACGUGAUCGCGCUGAGCCAACCGUGUACCAAGCGCGAGUGUUUAACCUGCUGCGGGGUCUUCCCCAUUCAGAGUGCAGGGAAGCCAGCCGACAGCUGUGGACAGUGCUUCCUACUGGGCCUCCGUGGCUGCCAUCGUGACUCAAUAAAUAGACCUACCUAGCGGCGCCGAACAUUAGGCAGCCGAGGACAACGCAAAGCUGUGGGGACAAAACACAAUAAUGGAAAACAAAGCCACAGCGAUGAGCGACAUCCCAAAAGAGCCAUGACAACGUGAUUGCAAACACCAUCCGGCGGAUGGACGACUUGUCUUGAGUGUCCAAAAGCUAAACAUCCUUUCAUGUAUCUGGCCUACAUUCUGCAACAUCAUCCUCAUCAACACACACUCCUCUGGAGCAAUAAACAACCACAACAUGCGGGUUAAUUAGACAGCUGGUAAUUAGAGCGGGAUGAAGGGGAUGGGACUUGGGGAGAAUUUUUGGAUGAUGAUCACAAGUUGGCCUAAAAACACUGGCGUAAUGAAGAGUAAGGAAGUGAUGUGUAUGCCAUGGAAGAAGCAGCGUGUCAGUCAUCAGAGGUGAUUAACGAGGAGGUGCACUUUGAAGUACAACGUGCAUCAAGACAUCAGCUGAGAUAUAUUUGGUCUUUGUUCGGUUUGACCUCAGGACACCGAGACAGUAACACAGCAAUGCGCCACUUAGUGAAUAUUUAUUAUGUUUCCCUCAGUGUGAGGCAACAUUUGAAUGAAGAAUGGCAUUUAGUCAACCUCCUCAUUGUUGAAAAAGCACAAAUUGUGAAGCUUUAUAAACACCAAUGCUAAAGUUCGCUUCAAUGAAAUCCAUGCAUUAUUUAAGAUAUUGAGGAAAACAAUUUUGCAACAAAACGUAAAAAGUUUUUUGAUUGGCACAUUUGCAGAACGUAAAACAAAUUAAAACAUUUUUAAUAAUAAAAAAAGAGUACCGUAUUUUCUGGAAAACAGGGCGCAC